rnacentral:rRNA from 1 species
CAGGACGAACGCUGGCGGCGUGCUUAACACAUGCAAGUCGAGCGGAAAGGCCCCUUCGGGGGUACUCGAGCGGCGAACGGGUGAGUAACACGUGGGCAACCUGCCCCAGACACCGGGAUAACUGUCCGAAAGGACAGCUAAUACCGGAUGACGCGCAACCUGCCAAGUGGGUUGCGCUAAAGGUAGCUUCGGCCUCCGGUCUGGGAUGGGCCCGCGCAGCAUUAGCUUGUUGGUGAGGUAACGGCCCACCAAGGCUACGAUGCUUAGCUAGUCUGAGAGGACGAUCAGCCACACUGGGACUGAGAUACGGCCCAGACUCCUACGGGAGGCAGCAGUGGGGAAUCUUGCGCAAUGGGCGAAAGCCUGACGCAGCAACGCCGCGUGCGGGAAGAAGGCCUUCGGGUUGUAAACCGCUGUCGGGAGGGACGAAGCCACUCGGGUGAAUAGCCCAGAGGGUGACGGUACCUCCAAAGGAAGGUCCGGCUAACUACGUGCCAGCAGCCGCGGUAAUACGUAGGGACCUAGCGUUGUCCGGAAUUAUUGGGCGUAAAGCGCGUGUAGGCGGCUUGGCAAGUCCGGUGUGAAAACUCGGUGGCUUAACCCCGAGCCUGCAUUGGAAACUGCCUUGCUUGAGUCCGGAAGAGGAGACUGGAAUUCCUGGUGUAGCGGUGAAAUGCGCAGAUAUCAGGAAGAACACCUGUGGCGAAGGCGGGUCUCUGGGACGGUACUGACGCUGAGACGCGAAAGCGUGGGGAGCAAACAGGAUUAGAUACCCUGGUAGUCCACGCCGUAAACGAUGGGCACUAGGUGUGGGAGGUGUCGACUCCUUCCGUGCCGUAGCUAACGCAUUAAGUGCCCCGCCUGGGGAGUAC